rnacentral:rRNA from 1 species
CGGAUCUUCAUUAGCUUGCUUUUGAAGAUCAGCGGCGGACGGGUGAGUAACACGUGGGCAACCUGCCUGUAAGACUGGGAUAACUUCGGGAAACCGGAGCUAAUACCGGAUAAUCCUUUCCCUCACAUGAGGGAAAGCUGAAAGACGGUUUCGGCUGUCACUUACAGAUGGGCCCGCGGCGCAUUAGCUAGUUGGUGAGGUAACGGCUCACCAAGGCAACGAUGCGUAGCCGACCUGAGAGGGUGAUCGGCCACACUGGGACUGAGACACGGCCCAGACUCCUACGGGAGGCAGCAGUAGGGAAUCUUCCGCAAUGGACGAAAGUCUGACGGAGCAACGCCGCGUGAACGAUGAAGGCUUUCGGGUCGUAAAGUUCUGUUGUUAGGGAAGAACAAGUACCGGAGUAACUGCCGGUACCUUGACGGUACCUAACCAGAAAGCCACGGCUAACUACGUGCCAGCAGCCGCGGUAAUACGUAGGUGGCAAGCGUUGUCCGGAAUUAUUGGGCGUAAAGCGCGCGCAGGCGGUUCCUUAAGUCUGAUGUGAAAGCCCCCGGCUCAACCGGGGAGGGUCAUUGGAAACUGGGGAACUUGAGUGCAGAAGAGGAGAGCGGAAUUCCACGUGUAGCGGUGAAAUGCGUAGAGAUGUGGAGGAACACCAGUGGCGAAAUCGGCUCUCUGGUCUGUAACUGACGCUGAGGCGCGAAAGCGUGGGGAGCGAACAGG